CAUCGAUUUUUUGACAGAUUGACGAAUCGCCCGUGUCGACGAAAAUACUUUGACAGUUUGAAUCAAGCAAAAACAUGUUAUGACGAACAGAAGUGCAAGAUUGUAGUUAAAAAAUACGAAUAAAUGCAAACCAAAAUUGCAGCAUAAAAACCGGAUACCAGGUAACCCGUGGAACUGUAGUUCGAUGCCGGGAAUAGCAUCGGCCUAACCGCCGCAGUACUACAAACAGUCGGCACCGAUCCUGGCCAACACCAUCGGGCACGACACAAUCCAGCUGGGGACAACCGCAGUCUCGUCAAAAUGCAGUAGGUUCCGUUGCCUCAGCGGUAGCCCCGAAUCGUGCCGAGGAUCGUGUCAGGGCACACAGGAGGACGUACUGGACAAGAUUUACAACGAUUCAGCGAUUCAACCUCCUUUACGACGUUCGCAGCAUCUAUACCCGGAUCCGGAGAACGCCUCCCAUAGGA